rnacentral:rRNA from 1 species
CCUACGGGAGGCAGCAGUGAGGAAUAUUGGACAAUGGGCGCGAGCCGGAAGCAGCCAAGUAGCGGGAAGGAUGACUGCCCUACGGGUUGUAAACUUCUUUUAUAAAGGAAUAAAGUGCGGCACGUGUGCCUUUUUGUAUGUACUUUAUGAAUAAGGAUCGGCUAACUCCGUGCCAGCAGCCGCGGUAAUACGGAGGAUCCGAGCGUUAUCCGGAUUUAUUGGGUUUAAAGGGAGCGUAGAUGGGUUGUUAAGUCAGUUGUGAAAGUUUGCGGCUCAACCGUAAAAUUGCAAUUGAUACUGGCAGUCUUGAGUACAGUUGAGGUAGGCGGAAUUCGUGGUGUAGCGGUGAAAUGCUUAGAUAUCACGAAGAACUCCGAUUGCGAAGGCAGCUUACUAAACUGCCACUGACGUUGAUGCUCGAAAGUGUGGGUAUCAAACAGGAUUAGAUACCCGGGUAGUC